CAGUCGACUGGAAGAUAAGUAAAAGGAAGAGGUUAGGGUCAGGUGAGAGGUUUUCACCAGAUGAGGCACACCUGAUCUUCGAAUGGAGAUAACAGAAACUGAUGGAAUAAGCACUAGAUUUCUCCUGAACUGCAUUUUCCUCCUUUAAUCGGUGCCAAGCACUCAGCUUCAGCCGGAGGCGCAUUAUGGUGCUCCUGACCUUUUGAAGGUCUGUGAGUAAGUACACUGAGCAGUUUCAUGGCCAAUUGAACACAUGGAGACAGACGAGUUUGUGAAAGCGCGUAGAGAAGAGUUCACGAGGGAAAAGUGAGAGGUUCACUCGAGCAGGAAAACUGUUCCAGCAUACAGCGACGAGUGAAACUGUUGCUGGAUUCCCACUCCCCCGGCGGCGCCUCUGAUCCUCCACAACAAUAUGGAACGCUACGCUUGCAAAAACACCGGCAAAGGCGCUGCAAACGUGCGACAUCGAGCGGGAAAUCAAAACGCAGUUCAGUCUGCCUUUCGCCUCUCGUUUUUGAGCACCUGUAGUGUUAGACCUUAGGGAGGAAGUGGAAACCCACUACAACCAUCAGUCUUGGGUAAUUUACUCAAAAAAAAAAAAAAAGUCAUCCACUUCAGAUUGCUAAUUACUUUAUUUAUUUAUUUAUUUUAAAGUUACUAUCAAAUCCUACAAAAUCAAACCUACAGAAAUACACUACAACAUGAACCUCGGUUCUUUCAGUAAGUAACGACAAUACAGUAACGCGUUAUACUGCGAGGGAAAUGACUCAUUUUCACUUUGUAAUAAGUUUGUUCUUGUCCAUGUUCAUCUGAGGAUAACGCCUAAGAAGGCCACGUGAUGUCACCGAGAUCCGUACAGAAUGUCGAUCUGCUUACAGAGACACGAACAUGUUCUUCUGUUCAAGAGGACGAGUCUGCACGUGUGGGCUAAUUUCCACGACGAUUUGGCGUCCCUGGGUGAGCCGCGCGAGUCUUUUCAGCAUUUCUGGGCAAGAAGUAAACCAGAGGACGCCCGUGGAGAAGUUUCACCGUGAAAGUCUGUGAUAACACGCAGGCGCUUUGCUCUUUGUCGUGGAGAGUGAAAGAUGCAGCCUUCUCACUGACCAGUAGGACUCCUCAAGAACUUAGAAUUUAGAAUUUUAUGAGGUCACAGUGUGUCGCCGUCAUAGUGUGCUGCUGUCUGUAUGGAAGGGAGUCAAUGAUAUCUGAAAUGCGUGUAUUACAUUGAGACAAGUAUUACAUGGAGUGAUUUCUAAAUAACGAAAACUAGUUGUGAAAAAACACUCAUUAACUGAAAUCAAAAUAAAAAUGAGGCAUUACAAAAAAAAACAAAAACGAUAACUAACUAAAACUGUAUUGUCUGUUUGCAAAACUGACUAAAAUAAAAAUACAAUUAUAGAGUAAAUGUCCUUAGUUUUGGUCUUUGUCAACGUCUUUCACAGAGCAAAUAUCUUUCAGAGUUGACAUUUCCGACUGGGAACCCGGAAAUUACGACAUUCCAUGUUAAAUUGAACACAGCACAGUCCGUGCUCCUCGCCUGGCAUCACGGCGGUACCGGAAGUCGGAAGAACGCGACAGAGUCCUAUUUGGGAUUACUUUAUACAUGACUGUGUGUCAGAUAAAAGUGCGUGCCUUGCAGUGGAAGGUGGUGAAAUAUGUGGAUAAUUUAUUAAAGGGAAAAAUCCCGCGAAUUUGAAAGUACAUUUGAGAAGCGCGCACGAGGAUGCUAACCUAGCCUAGCUUACAUUAAUGAGGUAAAGGAGAACGCCACGCCCCCUUCCCCCGAAACAGAAGCUGACCCCGGUACAGGGCUAGGCAGCAUGGCGGAGACUGCCGCAGGACAGAGAACACUGCAGCCGAGCUUUCACCGGAGAACCGACUGCUGCUGGUUAGUAAAUACGCAGAAACACCACAAGCGGGAGGAAGCGCUGGUUCAUAUGUUUACUGAUACUGGGGUGUCUACACGACCUUCAAAAAGUUCUCCACUUUACUCGAACUGAAGUUCAAAACACCUGGAGCUGCAAGAGUCAUCAGCCUUACUGGGGCUAAGAUGGACGCGACAAAGCAGGAACGAGAAGAGAUCGUUACGGAUGUGAGGAAGCUGACCCUGUGUGUAGAUGGUUGGAGCAAGAGAGGAUUCACAGCACCUCUCAUGGGUGUGUCGGCUUGUUUGUGCCCAUAUGUACAUGUUAUGUACUGGUGUUAUUGUUGAAUACAUAUUUCUAAAAGUGUA